rnacentral:piRNA from 1 species
UGAAAGUCACUGCUGCCAAAGAGUCUA